rnacentral:rRNA from 1 species
CAGCAGCAGCCGCGGGAAUACAGAGGGUGCGAGCGUUAAUCGGAUUUACUGGGCGUAAAGCGUGCGUAGGCGGCUUCUUAAGUCGGAUGUGAAAUCCCUGAGCUUAACUUAGGAAUUGCAUUCGAUACUGGGAAGCUAGAGUAUGGGAGAGGAUGGUAGAAUUCCAGGUGUAGCGGUGAAAUGCGUAGAGAUCUGGAGGAAUACCGAUGGCGAAGGCAGCCAUCUGGCCUAAUACUGACGCUGAGGUACGAAAGCAUGGGGAGCAAACAGGAUUAGAUACCCGGGUAGUCCCUGUCUCUUAUAC